GAUGAAGAACGCAGCGAAAUGCGAUAAGUAGUGUGAAUUGCAGAAUUCAGUGAAUCAUCGAAUCUUUGAACGCACAUUGCGCCCUUUGGUAUUCCAAAGGGCAUGCCUGUUCGAGCGUCAUUUGUACCCUCAAGCUUUGCUUGGUGUUGGGCGUCUUGUCUCCAGUUCGCUGGAGACUCGCCUUAAAGUAAUUGGCAGCCGGCCUACUGGUUUCGGAGCGCAGCACAAGUCGCGCUCUCUUCCAGCCAAGGUCAGCAUCCACAAAGCCUUUUUUCACCUUUUGACCUCGGAUCAGGUAGGGAUACCCGCUGAACUUAAGCAUAUCAAUAAGCGGAGGA
rnacentral:misc_RNA from 1 species